GCUAAUACCGGAUAAGAAAGCGGAUCGCAUGAUCAGCUUUUAAAAGGCGGCGUAAGCUGUCGCUAUGGGAUGGCCCCGCGGUGCAUUAGCUAGUUGGUAAGGUAAAGGCUUACCAAGGCGAUGAUGCAUAGCCGAGUUGAGAGACUGAUCGGCCACAUUGGGACUGAGACACGGCCCAAACUCCUACGGGAGGCAGCAGAU
rnacentral:rRNA from 1 species